GAGGUGUGAUGAUUUGAAACUUUUGGUCCGUGUUUCUGAGUGCCUAGCGCACCUCUGACGACUACAGUUUCUUCGUCUGACCUC
rfam:Volvox carteri f. nagariensis unplaced genomic scaffold VOLCAscaffold_4, whole genome shotgun sequence.